rnacentral:rRNA from 1 species
GAUGAACGCUGGCGGCGUGCCUAAUACAUGCAAGUCGAGCGAACAGACGAGGAGCUUGCUCCUCUGACGCUAGCGGCGGACGGGUGAGUAACACGUGGAUAACCUACCUAUAAGACUGGGAUAACUUCGGGAAACCGGAGCUAAUACCGGAUAAUAUAUUGAACCGCAUGGUUCAAUAGUGAAAGACGGUUUUGCUGUCACUUAUAGAUGGAUCCGCGCCGCAUUAGCUAGUUGGUAAGGUAACGGCUUACCAAGGCAACGAUGCGUAGCCGACCUGAGAGGGUGAUCGGCCACACUGGAACUGAGACACGGUCCAGACUCCUACGGGAGGCAGCAGUAGGGAAUCUUCCGCAAUGGGCGAAAGCCUGACGGAGCAACGCCGCGUGAGUGAUGAAGGUCUUCGGAUCGUAAAACUCUGUUAUUAGGGAAGAACAAAUGUGUAAGUAACUAUGCACGUCUUGACGGUACCUAAUCAGAAAGCCACGGCUAACUACG